rnacentral:tRNA from 1 species
UGAGGUGUAGCUUAAUGGCAGAGCAGCCUCGAUCGGGCGCGUAGGGGUUCGAUUCCCUUCUCCUCAU